GGCGAAGGAAGGCUGGGCUCACCGGGUCCCUCCGGGCUGGACGGCGCCGGGGGCCGGUGGGGCGGGGCCCCGCACCCGGGGUCCCCCUGGGCGGGCUCCCUCAGGGUAGGAGAUUGAACCCUGGGAUCUAUCAAUAGAAGACAAAUGAAGCAUGGCAAUGAAAAGAGAACCUGCCUACCAGUCCAUCUAUCUCUCCUAAAGAAAGUGCUGGGCAGUAAUGCCAAAUUCUAUCAAUAUUCCAUUUAUUUUAGCCAUGGUACAUGAGCAGCAAACUGAUGCCUCUGCCCCUGCCUCAGCAACCAAGGACAUUCACUACCUGCUCCAGAUGGUACAGCUACGAGAUGGUGGAACCAUCUCCAACAACCUGGAUCUUUGAGAAACUAUGUGGAUCAGAGCCCCUACCCCCAACCUCAACCUCAGUUGGACAUGUAAUAUGAGCAAGAA